rnacentral:rRNA from 1 species
UGAAUGUGCCCGAUCCCGUCCGAUCUCAGAAGCUAAGCA